GCGGCCAUGCUGGAAUUGGUAGACAGGUACGGUUGAGGGCCGUAUGAGCUUUGCUUGUGAGAGUUCAAGUCUCUCUGGCCGCACCA
rnacentral:tRNA from 4 species